rnacentral:rRNA from 1 species
AGAGUUUGAUCAUGGCUCAGGAUGAACGCUGGCGGCGUGCCUAAUACAUGCAAGUCGAGCGAACAGAUAAGGAGCUUGCUCCUUUGACGUUAGCGGCGGACGGGUGAGUAACACGUGGGUAACCUACCUAUAAGACUGGGAUAACUUCGGGAAACCGGAGCUAAUACCGGAUAACAUUUGGAACCGCAUGGUUCUAAAGUGAAAGAUGGUUUUGCUGUCACUUAUAGAUGGACCCGCGCCGUAUUAGCUAGUUGGUAAGGUAACGGCUUACCAAGGCGACGAUACGUAGCCGACCUGAGAGGGUGAUCGGCCACACUGGAACUGAGACACGGUCCAGACUCCUACGGGAGGCAGCAGUAGGGAAUCUUCCGCAAUGGGCGAAAGCCUGACGGAGCAACGCCGCGUGAGUGAUGAAGGGUUUCAGCUCGUAAAACUCUGUUAUUAGGGAAGAACAAAUGUGUAAGUAACUGUGCACGUCUUGACGGUACCUAAUCAGAAAGCCACGGCUAACUACGUGCCAGCAGCCGCGGUAAUACGUAGGUGGCAAGCGUUAUCCGGAAUUAUUGGGCGUAAAGCGCGCGUAGGCGGUUUCUUAAGUCUGAUGUGAAAGCCCACGGCUCAACCGUGGAGGGUCAUUGGAAACUGGGAAACUUGAGUGCAGAAGAGGAAAGUGGAAUUCCAUGUGUAGCGGUGAAAUGCGCAGAGAUAUGGAGGAACACCAGUGGCGAAGGCGACUUUCUGGUCUGUAACUGACGCUGAUGUGCGAAAGCGUGGGGAUCAAACAGGAUUAGAUACCCCGGUAGUCC